rnacentral:ncRNA from 1 species
CCACCACAACGGCUUCCUGGCGUGGUGGGUUUUUUAAAUGGAGCG